rnacentral:rRNA from 1 species
AAGUCGGAGGAAGUGGGGAUGACGUCAAAUCAUCAUGCCCCUUAUGACCUGGGCUACACACGUGCUACAAUGGGCGGUACAAAGGGCUGCGAACCCGCGAGGGGGAGCGAAUCCCGAAAAAGCCGCUCUCAGUUCGGAUUGCAGGCUGCAACUCGCCUGCAUGAAGCCGGAAUCGCUAGUAAUCGCGGAUCGGCAUGCCCGCGGUCGAAUACGUUCCGGGCCUU